ACCUUGGUGGUCUAGCGGCUAAGGAUCCCGUACUGCUGUAGCCUGGGUUCGAUUCCCAGGCAGGGAA